rnacentral:rRNA from 1 species
AUUGAACGCUGGCGGCAUGCCUUACACAUGCAAGUCGAACGGUAACAGGUCUUCGGAUGCUGACGAGUGGCGAACGGGUGAGUAAUACAUCGGAACGUGCCUAGUAGUGGGGGAUAACUACUCGAAAGAGUGGCUAUACCGCAUGAGAUCUACGGAUGAAAGCAGGGGAUCGCAAGACCUUGUGCUACUAGAGCGGCCGAUGGCAGAUUAGGUAGUUGGUGGGAUAAAAGCUUACCAAGCCGACGAUCUGUAGCUGGUCUGAGAGGACGAUCAGCCACACUGGGACUGAGACACGGCCCAGACUCCUACGGGAGGCAGCAGUGGGGAAUUUUGGACAAUGGGCGCAAGCCUGAUCCAGCAAUGCCGCGUGCAGGAUGAAGGCCUUCGGGUUGUAAACUGCUUUGUACGGAACGAAAAGCCCUGGGUUAAUACCCUGGGGUCAUGACGGUACCGUAAGAAUAAGCACCGGCUAACUACGUGCCAGCCGCCGCAGUAA